CAACGACAGAGAAACCAAAAUCUUUAUUCCUUCCAAGACCAUGGUGCUGUAAAAUUAGUAGACUCUCUCCACAAAUCGUAACUACCAUUUUCAUUUGGUCAUACUCCUCAUUUGUCCGUCGACUCCGACUCCGACAGUCCGACUCCUCUUUGUCGAGGUGUCCAUUUUACAAAGGAACCCCAAAGAAACCCCGAAGAUUGAGGAUCUUUGGUAGGCCUUUCGAUAACCUCGAUCUAGCAUGUGUUAAGUUUUGUUGGAUAUUUGCUUCUUGUGUAUUCAUUUCAUAUUUUCUUCAAAAUGGAGCCUUAAUCUCAAAAGCCUAACAUAAUUAGUGCUUAUGAAUCUAACUACCUUUUUUUCUUUUUUUCUUUUUUCUUUUUUUUGUUGUAAAUUUUAAUCGAUCCAAUGUUUUAGCUUUCGUUGAAAAUAAAGUCUUUCAUCCGUUACGUUUUCAUUUGCUUUGGUAUGACACAUAUGGGUGUUGAUCAUAUUUUAUUGUGGAAUUAGAUUUUUAUUUUCAUUUUCACUUUCACAAUUUUGGAUACAAAUGCUUAUUUUGAUCUUUUUGCAAGUCGGAGAGUACAUGAGGAACCAGAAGAUGCAACAAAGGGCAGAGACAUUUUAAUGAAAGGCCACCUGCUGAAUUCUUGACUGUGUCAAAUAUAGGAAAAACUAUGACAUCAUCUCUUCCAGAUAAUAUCGUAAGUGGUUUUCCUCAAAGUGAUUUUAUUGCAUUCGAUUUCCCAAUCGGCCCACAAAUUAAUAUAGAAUUGGAAAGGGAUUGUUUUUCUAAUUUUUAAUUUCUAGAAAGAGGAAAAACCAAGAAAUAAAGCAGAAUUACCCAUGGAAGUGGCACAAAAGGCUCAAAGCUUGUAGGAUUAUGUUCUAAGAAUAGGAUCAUUUAAAGUGGGUGAAGUGAACAGAAUGAGCAAAUAAAGUUAAAUAUUGUUGGAUUCCUUCAACAAUCUUGGAUUUUCUCUCUAUAUUAUAUUGGGCUAUUGUCUUCCUUAAUUUCUUAUGUAACCUUCCAGCUAGCCUUAUCAAAAGAAUUAUCAUUUACAAGUGUUGUAAACGAUAGAAAUCUGCAUAGACUAUUUCUUCUUUAUUAUGUCAUUCCGAAAGUUGAUCAUAAACUGCAUCACACUUUAUGAUCAAAGAUAAUGACAUGGAAGCUCUCUUAGGCACUUGUAUACUUUAUACUUUGAAACCUUCUGUUGAAAUUUUAUCUUUUGAAUUAUUCAAAUAGGUUGUUCAAUGUUAUAUGAAGCUAUUGUGAUUUUCCUUUCCUAAGCCACUAUUAAGAUGUGUUAUGAAUGAAAAAGAUAUUGUUCAAAGGUAAAUUUCGUUUUAGUUAGAUAGAAAUUUGGGCACGUAGGCUGUCAGAGUAAAAGAGAGAGGGUAAAACAAAACUUGCGAACUUGUGAACUGCAAAAGUUUUAUGGAAAGAUCUUAAAGCUCUAGGAUGUUAAGAGAUUGUAGUAGAUUGAGACAUGGAAGUUUGGUUGUUUGAAAUGUGACUUGCUUAAUGUUUAGGGCUUUGGAAGAAGACAAUUUAUAAUGCUGAUGUAAGCUAAUUUCGUUGGCCCUAAUGCAUUUCAGUGAAGCAGAGGCAUUUUCUAAGUGGUUGAAAAAAGAGCUUCAAGCUUUGGAAGUGGCAAAUGUGUGUGUAAUUUUGGAGACCAAGCAUUAGUUAAUGAGGUAACUUAGGAUUUUAAGCAUUGAUAUCCACAUGUUUACUGCAUUUUGUUUUCUUGCCAUCACUUGUGAUCCCGUAAGAUAUUUGUGUUAAUUGAUAGUAGGUGUACAUCAUCUUUAUCACGUCUUUCUAUUCAAUCAUAGCUUGUCGAUUUUACCUGUGUUUACUUAAAAGUAUAACACCUAAUUUUUUUUAAAAUACUUAUGAGUAUUAUCCAGUUUCAUUUAUUUUCUUUUGGUUUUGUUAUUGUGUUUGAAAGAUUAAUUUUGAGGAUGUGUAUAUUAGCCAAACUUUCAAAAUUUGUUUGGUUUACAAGAAGCUAAGUCAUUUGCAACUUUGAAAAUAAAGUUUUUAUGAUGAUUGUAUUUGGUUUUUAUUUUCUUUUGUUUCAAGUUGACAGCAACGUGAACCCUGAAUGAUUUAUUUAGGGAUUGUGCAGGUACUACAGGCCUUCAGAUUGCUACUAAUUUUGUUCAGGACAUGGAUGAAUAGUUGGGUACAUUCAAUGUAAAAUUUCAAGAUAUGAGAGAGGACAUAAAAUCGGUAUGCAUCUCCCCACAUCGUGCUCUCAUUUGAAAAUGUAUAUUUUCGUCUUGUCUUGUGAUUUUGCUCAUAUACAUCAUGUUAGUUAUAAAACUAUAUACUGCAUAGUGUGUUCGUCUGAUUCUAAUUUUGCUUUGUUCAACAACAUGAGCAAAUUAAAAUUCAAUUUUAUUUGUUUGCUAAAGCAUAGCUGCUUGUAUUAUCACUUGCUUUAUAAAAUAUUUUGAAGAAUGUGUUAUGAAUUAAUUCAAAUUAAGCGCUUCCCUGUGCUUUGAGAAUGUUCUAACAUAUUCUUUUGUUUUAUGAAGGUUGAAGCCCCUAAUAACAAGCUGGAAAUACAUUCAGUAAACAACAAAUCAUUGGUUGAUGAACUUGAUAGCCUUUGAGAAAGAUUGUGCAUCCCUUCCCAGGUAUUUUCUUCGACUUUUUCAUUCAAUAAAUUCAAAGAACCUUUUUUUUUUUUAACACUUGGCAGUUGUACUUUGUAUUAUUUUCCCCAUUUAAAUUUCAAUAUAUAGCAUGGCUAAUAAGAAGUUCAGGUAUUCUAGCUUGUCGGCUCGUUCAGGUUGUUAUUGAGUUUCUUUUUGUGUUUAUUGGGGCUUUUUUUAGUACUUAACACUUAGCAGUUCAGGUGUUAAAUACUAAAAAGAAAAAAGAAAAUGGGGUACUUGAUGUAAAAAUACCUUUGAGUUUAUUGCUAGCCCGCAAUACCUUUUUUAAGUAUUUAACAUUUGGGAGUUGUAUUUCAAUCACGUAAUGUUUUCCUUCACAUGCUUUAGAAUACCUUUGAGCAGCAAAUGAGCGAUUAGAGAUACUCAACAUGUAGGAUAAUAUUAUGAGAUCUUGCCUUGAUAGUUUUCAAAGUGUGUAUUUAUAUUUUUUGUCCCUUGCAGUUUUGUAUUUUCCCAGCUGGGUAGCUUAAAUUCUCUCUUUGCCAUUGAACAAACUCUGUCUAUCAUAAUGGUACCCGAGGUUCCAACCAUAAUACUUUGUAUGGAUUUGUCACAUGGUUCCCCUAGCUAGUCUAAUAUUCCAUCCAUUGUUACAGUAAAACGCUACCAACCUCUUGUUCUUUAUGCUCUUUCAAAUUAUUGCAACCUGCUUCUAUGUUUUUAUUUUAAAUAGUUUGUCUUCUUGAGGCAAUGGCCAUUAAUAUCUCAUUAACGACCAUGUGUUCACAUUCAGUCCCCUAAAGUUGAAAUCAUUGAUCCUCUUUAUAAGCAUGUCUCAGACACUGAGGAUGAGGGCAUAAUCAGAUGAGUUUAGCGUCUUCAAUUAAAAUUGUUAAUGGGCGAUAUGAAUAAGGGGGGUGUCCUCAAUUUAAAGUUUGAUGGAUUUUAAAACUCCAUAUAAAUUGAAGUAUCCUCAAUUCAGAUUUAAAUAUAAUUCAUUAAAAUAUAGGUGUCCCCAAUCUAGAUUUUUAAAAAUACUUAUAAAUUUAGGUGUCCUCAACAUAGAUUUUAAUAGGUAGUUUUGAAAUUUAGAUGUCCUCAAUAACUAGUUGAUUUUAAAAGAUUUCAUUAAGUAUAUAGAUUUUGAAGGAUUUCAAGGUAAAAAUAUAAGUACAAAAAAUCAGUAACAAUUUUAACCCAAACCUAAAAAUUUCACAACAUUUCUCACAUCUCUCCAUAUUUGCUGCCCUCUCUCUCUCUUCCUCCCCCCCCCCACCCUCCAUCUUGAACAAGAUUUUCUUCUUCUUUCUAUCUCACAUUUCUCUAUUGUAAAAAGAUCAUGUAUGAGAACUUUUCAAUUGAUGAUAAUUUAUGAAAGAUUACUAUUUUUUGUUGAAUAUUGGGUGUGAUUUUUUAUUGAACUUAUUUUUUCUUAUUGAAGUUAUAUAUUGCUUACUAUUUUAUAGAUGUGCUGGAAAUUAUCAUGGUAAUUUACGAUUUCUAGUAUGCAUCUGGAACAACUUCGUUUUUCAAGUUCUGUACUCUAUUCCUUUUUCUUGGAAAGAGCUGUGUGUUUUCUAUACAUACCUGCAAAUCCUAGCCAAGACGUGUGAGGAUGGUAUUCUACAAUUUUUUCUUUUGUGUCUGCAUGGUCAAUGAGAAUUCUGGGGGUAUGGAAUUAAUUGCCUUGUGGUCAUGUAUGUGUACAUCUGUGUGUUUGUAUCUCACGAGGUUGUGGCAUUUUGAACUAAUUCAUAUUGAUUACGACUUUGAUUAUUUAACACUACAUAUUUUUGUCCUCUCCCACUCUCGCAUUUUGUUGAAUAGUGGGUGUAUUUUUUUAUUGAAGCUCUGUUAUAAUACUCAAUGUUUAACAAACAAUUAAACAAGGAUUCGAUCAUUUUCUGUGAUUUAUUAACAUGCAUAUGUGUAAGAAUAAGUUGUUAAAGAAGAAGUAAAAAAUUGUGGCUUAUGUUAAGCAUAUUUAUAAAUUUUACCCAGAAUCUAUAAAAUCCAUUGAAAUCUAUAAAAUCCAUGAAAUUUUUUUAAAAUCUACAAAAUAGAAAUUCAUUCAAAUCUUAUGAAAUCUAUUAAAUUCUAUGAAAUUUCACACAAUUCAUGGGAAUUUAUAAAUAUUAAGAAAUCUAUUAAACUCUGAAAUGAGGACACCCCCGUAAAUGCCGAUGCAACUCCUUUAAUUCGCUUUACUGUUGAGGCCACAACUGCAGAUUUUUCUUGCUAAUGGAACUAAAUUUACAGCAGGCUUCCUCUGAGAGACCAGCUUAGCUCAAUUUGGCAUGUUAUGAACUAUGCAAAAUUGUCCAUAAAUAUGUUACUUCAAUUCAGAAAACGUCAAUUUUAUGAUACAAUUGUUUCUUUUCUUUAUUCAAAUAAGUUUUCCACAAUUUUUAUGUCAAUUCUGUACUAUUGAAAUGUAAUUUUGAUAAUAUACAUUGUUAGUGCCAAAUGUUAGUGUUAUUUAUUUUGUUAUUUAUAUUCACUGUUCAAUCUUUGAUUUUUUUUUCGAGGUUUUAAAAAAUCAUUCCCAAAAAAUUAGGAAAUUUCAACUGAAAUUGGAGUUUGACGACGAAUUUGUGAGGUAUCGUGAUGAAAGAGACCGUGAGUCAUGGCUGAUAUGAAUGGAAGGUAUUUUUCGACGAGACCCAUAAAAAUUAACUUGGUUGCUAGCAAACAGAAUGUGGGUGGUCAGGCUAAAGUUAUGAUUUACCUUUCAUCCUUGUGGUACUUUUGUCAGCUUAUUAGAUGGCCGCAUCAAAUUGACUUAAACAGGCUGAAUUAGAUUUGGUUUUUGCAUGAUGUGAUUUGAUUCCUGAUUUUGGCAGUUCAAAUGCAUUGAUGGCUUUUUGUUUUAGAUAUAUUUUCAACGGUUGAUGCUUAUUCAACAAUGUUGUUUUUAAGUAUGCUUCCUCUCAGUUAUACUCUUGAAUUCUUAAAGAUAACCACAGCUUACGAUAACAUUUCUUUGAAGUAUUUUUGAUGAAAUCACGAUUUUUAGGGAUUAUUUAUUUCCAUAGUUAGAGUUGUAAUUAAAGGAUUGAUUGAUUAUUGUAAUCUUUAGAUUUGGUAGGCAAUUGUUUCUUUCCUUUUAUUUUUCCCUUCUUUGUACUAUAAAAGGGACGAUGUAUAGCUCAUAUUUAAUAAGAAAUUUAUAAUCUCUCUUCAUGGUAUUAGAGCUCAGGCUCAUCAACUAACCAACCAAAAUAAUGACAGAAGCCAAUAGCAGAGGAUCUACAACCUCUGAUUUUUUCAAUGGAGAGUCAGAAAUUGGUUCUGUCAUAGGCAUGGGAGAGAAUUCAUCAUUCCAAUUAACGGUUGAAAAAUUGAAUGGGAAAAAUUUUCGAGAAUGGGCUCAAUCCAUCAAUUUAAUUGUCGAUGGGAAAGGAAAAUUAGGUUACCUGACUUGGGAGAUAACGAAGCCGGCCUCAACCAACACGGUUCUUCUCCAAAAAUGGAACUCAGAAAACUUAUUGGUGACUGCUUGGCUGAUAAACUCCAUGAAACCGACCAUCGAAAAAACGUACCUGUUUCUGCCCACUGCAAAAGAUGUAUGGGAUGCAGUCAGAGAGACAUAUUCUGAUUCUGAAAAUUCAUCCCAAAUUUUCGAAAUCAAAACUAAACUCUGGCAAACCAAGCAAGGCGACCGAGAUGUGACAGAAUAUUACCUGCAGAUGUCGACGUUGUGGCAAGAACUCGACUUGAGCACCGAAGAAGCAUGGGAUUGCGCAGGCGACAGUGCUCGAUUUAAAACAAGGCUGGAAAACGAAAGGGUCUUCGAAUUCUUGACCGGACUGAACCGUGACCUAGAUGAAGUGAGGGGACGAAUCCUUGGUCGGAAACCCUUACCGUCGACGAGGGAAGUGUUCGCGGAGGUCAGACGGGAAGAAAGCCGGAGAAAAAUUAUGUUGGAGAUGAAUGGAGGUCCUUCAGGCGUGGGUGGAUCGAUUUCUACGAGUGAGUCUUCAGCCCUACUGUCAAAAGGAAUUGGGUCAUCUACCGGGUCGACUAUUGGGCCAUCUAACAGUGGGCUAAAAGGCAAUGGACUGGGGCUUUUAAAAUAUGGCCCAGGAAAUCCUAAUUUUGGGUCAACAAAUGGGCCUGAGAAUACGGGCUUUUAUUUAAAAGGAACGACAAAUGGGUCAGACCCAAGGCAGCAAAAAGGACGACCUUGGUGUGAGCAUUGCCGUAAACCAGGACAUAAUGAAGACACGUGUUGGGAUUUGCAUGGAAAACCCGCCAACUGGAAGCUUAGACAAAGUAAUAAAUACUGUGGAAAUCAGGCAUCAAUUGACUAUCAGGGAGGAAAGUCCAAGGAAUCAAGCGGUGCAUUUAAUGCCGAGCAGAUGGAACAGCUCUACAAAAUGUUUUCUAGCCUACAAUCAUCAAACCAAACCAAUAACCCGUCAAGUUCACUAGCGCACAAAGGUAAUUUUUUGAGGGCAAUCUGCCACUCAACCAAAAACACCCUGGAUCAUUGACUCAGGAGCCUCGGACCACAUGACAGACUCCUACCACUUAUUAUCAUCUUACUCCCCAUGUACCGGUAAUCUCAAGGUUAAAAUUGCAGAUGGAUCUCUGUCCACCAUAACAGGAAAAGGGACUAUUCAAAUCUCUAAUUCUAUAACCUUGGAAUCUGUUCUUCAUGUUCCUAAUUUAUCUUGCAAUUUACUGUCUAUAAGUCAGUUAACAAAAUCCUCAAAUUGUUCUGCUAAAUUUUUCCCAUCUUACUGUGUUUUUCAGGACCUAUCAUCGAGGAAGACGAUUGGCAGUGCUAAAAAAAGUGAAGGACUCUAUUACUUUGACAAGGCAGAUGUGGGUGAACAGUGUCAAAUUAAAAUUUGUGAUUCUGCGUCUAUUCUUAGAAAUAGCGAAAUUAUGUUAUGGCAUUUUAGAAUGGGACACCCCAACUUUCAAUACCUAAAACGUGUACUACCUUCUAUUUUUUUGAAUAAAAAGACAGUUGAUCUUCAAUGUGAAAUUUGUGAACUUGCAAAACAUCAGCGUACACCAUUUCCAAAAUCCGUAUACAAACCAUCAAAGCCAUUCUCUAUGAUUCAUAGAUAUGUAUGGGGUCCCUCAUGAAUUCCAAAUCGUACUCACUCUAAAUGGUUUGUCACAUUCAUUGACGAUCAUACUCGAAUUUGUUGGAUUUACCUACUAAAAGAUAAAUCUGAAGUUCGGGGCGUGUUUGUCAACUACCACACUAUGAUUCAAACGCAGUUCCAAACCAAAAUCCAGAUCUUACACACUGAUAAUGGCACAGAGUACUUCAAUAACAUCUUAGGCGACUAUCUCAGAACCCAUGGCAUAGUUCAUCAAAGUUCAUGCGUUGAUACUCCCCAACAAAAUGGGAUUGCUGAACGUAAAAAUAGACAUAUAUUAGAAGUCGCCCGUUCCCUAAUGUUCACUACAAACAUGCCAAAAAAAAUCUGGGGGGAUGCUGUCCUUACAUCCAUUUACCUCAUCAACCGAAUGCCUAGUCGAGCCCUAAAUUUUGAAACUCCCAUCCAAAAAUUCCGAAAAUAUUUCCCAACUUCUCGUCUUAGCUCUAAUCUACCCCUACGAGUAUUUGGAUGUACUGCCUUCGUACAUGUCUAUCCCCAUCAAAGAAACAAACUUGAUCCCCGGGCAAUUAAAUGUGUCCUAAUUGGCUACUCUCCUACACAAAAAGGAUACAAAUGCUAUGAUCCGCCCACACAACGAACAUUUGUAAGUCUUGAUGUCACCUUUUUCGAAAAUAAACCAUACUUUGAACAAACCUCUCUUCAGGGGGAGACCUUAACAGAAGAUCGGUUCUUUGACUUCAGUCUCUCUUCUCCUGAAUCUUCUCUAUUUAUUCCUCCAUCCGAUGCUAAUAUGCCAUUAACAAAAGAAAAUUUGAAUACAGGGGGAGACGUAGAAAAACAAAAGGAUAAGGAGAUAUUAGUUUACUCACGAAAGCCAAAAUCAAAGUACAUAGAGAAUCUCACGACUGAAGCACCAAAAGAAUCAGAACCGAUGGUAGCUCCACCUGAGAAAGUAUCAGAGUUAUCUAAUACCGACCCAUUGCCCUUAGAAAACAACCACGGUUAUGCACUCAACACCCUAUCUCAAAAUUCAUGCCAUAUACUGCUCUAUCUUCAGAAUUCCGUACUUUUACAGCACGCCUUGACAAUACGAUUAUCCCGAGGAAUAUUCAGGAGGCAUUGGGAGUUCCAGAAUGGAAGGAGGAAGUUUUGGAAGAAAUGCGUGCUUUGGAAAAAAAUAAAACUUGGGAAGUAAUGGAGUUGCUACAAGGAAAGAAACCCGUGGGAUGUAAAUGGGUUUUCAGCUUAAAAUACACAACAGAUGGGACAAUAGAUCGGUAUAAAGCCCGAUUGGUUGCAAAAGGAUAUACUCAAACCUAUGAUAUUGACUACACAGAGACAUUCGCACCAGUAGCAAAGUUGAGUACAAUUCGAGUCCUUCUGUCAAUAGCAGUAAAUUUGUACUGGCCUCUUCAGCAACUUGAUAUUAAAAAUGCAUUCUUGAAUGGGGAAUUGGAGGAAGAAGUAUUUAUGACAUUAUCGCCAGGCUUUUGUAAGUAGGAGGAAAAAGGUCUAGUAUGCAAGCUAAAGAAAUCACUAUAUGGACUCAAACAAUCACCAAGAGCAUGGUUUGAUAGAUUUGCAAAAGUGUUGAAAAAUCAAGGAUAUCGCCAAGGGCAAUCAGAUCACACUAUGUUCCUGCGGCAGUUUGUAGAUGGUACUAAAACUAUUCUGAUCGUAUACGUUGAUGAUAUCAUUUUGACAGGAGACAACAGAAUAGAAAUGGAAAGACUAAAAAUAAGUCUUGCCACUGAAUUUGAAGUAAAGGACUUGGGAAAAAUGCGAUAUUUUCUGGGAAUGGAAGUUGCGAGAUCAAGACGAGGGAUCAGUGUAUCACAACGGAAAUAUGUUCUUGAUCUCCUAAAUGAAACUGGCAUGCUAGGAUGUAAAUCAAGUGAUACACCCAUAGAUAUUGGAAGGAAAAAUGGCAACGAAGGAAAUCCUGUAGAAAUAGACAGAUAUCAAAGAUUGGUUGGAAAAUUGAUUUACCUAUCACACACUAGGCCUGACAUAGCAUUUGCGGUUAAUUUGGUAAGUUAGCACAUGCACUCUCCAAAGGAAAGUCACUUAGAAGCUGUCUAUAAGAUACUGAGAUAUCUCAAGGGCUCCUCAGGAAGGGGGCCAUUCUUCGAAAAGGAUGAAAGAAAAGGAGUGGAAGUCUUCACAGACGCAGAUUGGGCCGGAUCAACAGAUGAUAGGAGAUCUACUACAAGUUACUGCGCAUUUGUAUGGGGAAAUCUACUAACUUGGAGGAGCAAGAAACAAAACGUAGUUGCCAGAAGUAGUGCUGAAAUUGAAUUUAGAGCAGUUGCGCAAGGAAUAUGUGAAGGACUAUGGUUAAAGAAGCUCCUAGAAGAACUAUAUGUCACAAUAAGGCCACCAAUCAAACUUUAUUGUGACAACAAAGCAGCUAUCAACAUCUCUCUUAAUCCAGUUCAACAUGAUCGAACAAAACACGUAGAGGUAGACAGACACUUUAUCAGAGAAAAAGUUGAGGAAGGAAUCAUUUGCAUGACCUAUGUUCCUACACAAGAACAAACUUCAGACAUCUUCACUAAGGGACUAUCAAGACAGAAAUUUGAUGAUUUCAUUUUCAAGUUGGAUAUGAUAAACAUUUAUGAUCCAACUUGAGGGGGAGUGAUGAAAUCACGAUUUUUAGGGAUUAUUUAUUUCCAUAGUUAGAGUUGUAAUUAAAGGAUUGAUUGAUUAUUGUAAUCUUUAGAUUUGGUAGGCAAUUGUUUCUUUCCUUUUAUUUUUCCCUUCUUUGUACUAUAAAAGGGACGAUGUAUAGCUCAUAUUUAAUAAGAAGAAAUUUAUAAUCUCUCUUCAAUUUUAAAAGUUUUCAGCUUUUGAAUCUUAAAACUUGUCUAAUCUCAUAAAACUCCAGUUGUCUCAAAGCAGGAUGUCAGGAGGCUCUAGGCAUUGAGCUAAUUAUGGCUAAAAUGGUAACACUUUUAGUGCAUGUCAGUUUUAAUUUCAUGUUUCUUACUUUUGGCUUUAAUGUUGAUAAUAAAUUGUUUUACUCAAUACCCUUUUUUUUAACUCUACAGAUACUAUGGGGUCCGUGCAACCUUGUUAAUGGUGUUUAUAAAAAUUUGUUAUUGUAUUCAGGAACCUUUGGCGUAGUUGACCAUACUAAUUACGAAGAUAUUAAAUAUGUUGUAUUCAUCUUGAAAGUGUUUAACCUUCUGAGCAUCCACGAAUUUUUCCAAACAAUUUGACAAUUUAUUUUCUUCUUGCUCAGAUCCGAAAACUCGAUGAUAGUGAGUUUAAGAGCCCUUGGAACAGAAGUUCGAACGGGGUACCGUGACGUGGAUAGGUCCGUUCAACAUCCAUGUUUUGGCCUUCGCAAGGUUAUAAUCUUACAUUUAGCGUGAUCCAUGGGGUAGUUUCAUUUCUGGUAUUUAUUUAAUUUUUGAACUAUUUGAACGAGAAAACCUGCUAAUACUUUUGGCGUACCUCUUGUUGCUAAUAUUGAAGCUUGAAUACCCUUUUUUUUAAUUCUAGACAUGUAAAUGUUGC
rnacentral:lncRNA from 1 species